AUGGGUUCCGAUGGAGCAACUUCGGCGGCCAACAGUCGGAGGAAACCGUCGUGGAGGGAGAGAGAAAACAACCGGAGGAGAGAGAGACGGAGGAGAGCUAUAGCUGCGAAGAUUUACGCGGGAUUGAGGUCUCAGGGGAACUAUAAUUUGCCUAAACACUGUGAUAACAAUGAAGUGCUCAAGGCUCUCUGUGUUGAAGCUGGUUGGACCGUUGAAGAAGACGGCACCACCUAUCGAAGAGGAUCAAGGGCUGCAACAUCAGGCGAUGGUGCGGGAGCUUGUACCAGAAACAAUCUAUUUUCGUCGCAAAAUCCAAGUCCUCUUUCGUCGUCAUUUCCGAGUCCAAUCCAUUCCUACCAACGUGUUCCCUAA